ensembl:snRNA U6 U6 spliceosomal RNA
GUGCUUGCUUCAGCAGCACAUAUAAUAAAAUUGGAAUGAUACAGAAAUUAGCAUGGCCCCUGCACAAGUAUGACAUGGAAAUUCAUGAAGCGUUCCAUAUUUAA